UCAGCAGUACGAUAGUGUGGCUACGAUUCAGCAACUCGGUAACACUGCUACGACUCAGCAGUUCAGUAAUGAACUUUUAAUGUAAUGUUAUGUAAUGUUGCGUUUCAGCAACUCGGUAACACUGCCACGUCUCAGCAGAUCAUGUCGAUACUUCGCAACAACUCGGCUAUGCAGCUCUCAGCAGCACGCUUACUUUGCUAUGUCUCGGCAACCCAAUUACAUUGUUACAUCGCAACACGGCUAUAUGGUUACGCCUCACCAACACGUACCCUUCGCUCCGACUCAUCAAAGUGGUAACAUUGCUACGACCCAGCAGUACAAUAACGUCGUUACAUCACAGCAAGAUAAUUAUGUUACAACGUCACGGAAUUACCUAAGCAAAAGUAGGUAAAACACAAAUGUAGCUCUUGUUCCUGAAUUUAAUCCAUCGUCCGUAAAAUCAUUGGAUUCGCAUCAGUUUGUUAAACGUGUGGAAAACGUCUGAAAAACGCAUAUAAAUGGGACGACAGAAAGAUAAUUUUUACAGUUCACCAAAAGAUGCAAGGUGCAGCUCGUUACUGGGUGGAUGCAACGACUUCCCAUGUAUCAGCAACGCAGCUGAUGUUCAUUUA